UACGUAGGGUGCAAGCGUUGUCCGGAAUUAUUGGGCGUAAAGAGCUCGUAGGCGGUGUGUCGCGUCUGCUGUGAAAACUCAGGGCUCAACUCUGAGCUUGCAGUGGGUACGGGCACACUUGAGUGCUGUAGGGGAGACUGGAAUUCCUGGUGUAAGCGGUGAAAUGCGCAGAAUAUCGAGGAGGAACACCGGUGGCGAAGGCGGGUCUCUGGGCAGUUACUGACGCUGAGGAGCGAAAGCAUGGGGAGCGAACAGGGA
rnacentral:rRNA from 1 species